rnacentral:tRNA from 1 species
CCGCCCGUAGUCUCAAUGGAUAGAGCGUCAGAUUCCGGUUCUGAAGGUUGCUGGUUCGACCCCAGUCGGGCGGA